GCUGGCGGCGUGCCUAAUACAUGCAAGUAGAACGCUGAGGUUUGGUGUUUACACUAGACUGAUGAGUUGCGAACGGGUGAGUAACGCGUAGGUAACCUGCCUCAUAGCGGGGGAUAACUAUUGGAAACGAUAGCUAAUACCGCAUAAGAGUAAUUAACACAUGUUAGUUAUUUAAAAGGAGCAAUUGCUUCACUGUGAGAUGGACCUGCGUUGUAUUAGCUAGUUGGUGAGGUAAAGGCUCACCAAGGCGACGAUACAUAGCCGACCUGAGAGGGUGAUCGGCCACACUGGGACUGAGACACGGCCCAGACUCCUACGGGAGGCAGCAGUAGGGAAUCUUCGGCAAUGGACGGAAGUCUGACCGAGCAACGCCGCGUGAGUGAAGAAGGUUUUCGGAUCGUAAAGCUCUGUUGUUAGAGAAGAACGUUGGUAGGAGUGGAAAAUCUACCAAGUGACGGUAACUAACCAGAAAGGGACGGCUAACUACGUGCCAGCCGCCGCGGUAAUUCGUCGUGACUGGGAAA
rnacentral:rRNA from 1 species